GUGUGUAAGCGCUGUGAGGCGUUGAGCUAACCAAUACUAAUUGCCCGUGAGGCUUGACCAUAUAACACCCAAGCAAUU
rnacentral:rRNA from 2 species